rnacentral:rRNA from 1 species
UGGGGGAUAUUGCACAAUGGGCGAAAGCCUGAUGCAGCGACGCCGCGUGGGGGAUGAAGGCCUUCGGGUUGUAAACUUCUUUUGCUCUGAACAAGGCGCACCAUGGGGUGUGUUGAGUGUAGGGGUUGAUUAGCGCCGGCUAACUACGUGCCAGCAGCCGCGGUAAUACGUAGGGCGCGAGCGUUGUCCGGAAUUAUUGGGCGUAAGGGGCUUGUAGGUGGCUGGUUGCGUCUGUCGUGAAAGCUCAUGGCUUAACUGUGGGUUUGCGGUGGGUACGGGCUGGCUUGAGUGCAGUAGGGGAGGCUGGAAUUCCUGGUGUAGCGGUGGAAUGCGCAGAUAUCAGGAGGAAUACCGGUGGCGAAGGCGGGUCUCUGGGCUGUUACUGACACUGAGGAGCGAAAGCAUGGGGAGCGAACAGG